AUUGAACGCUGGCGGCAGGCCUAACACAUGCAAGUCGGACGGUAGCACAGGGGAGCUUGCUCCUCGGGUGACGAGUGGCGGACGGGUGAGUAAUGUCUGGGGAUCUGCCCGAUAGAGGGGGAUAACCACUGGAAACGGUGGCUAAUACCGCAUAAUGUCGCAAGACCAAAGAGGGGGACCUUCGGGCCUCUCACUAUCGGAUGAACCCAGAUGGGAUUAGCUAGUAGGCGGGGUAACGGCCCACCUAGGCGACGAUCCCUAGCUGGUCUGAGAGGAUGACCAGCCACACUGGAACUGAGACACGGUCCAGACUCCUACGGGGGGCAGGAGUGGGGAAUAUUGCACAAGGGGCGCAAGCCUGAUGCAGCCAUGCCGCGUGUAUGAAGAAGGCCUUCGGGUUGUAAAGUACUUUCAGCGGGGAGGAAGGCGAUGUGGUUAAUAACCGCGUCGAUUGACGUUACCCGCAGAAGAAGCACCGGCUAACUCCGUGCCAGCAGCCGCAGUAA
rnacentral:rRNA from 1 species